GGUUCAUUCAAAUUUCUUCCCUAUCAACUUUCGAUGUUUGGGUAUUGGCCAAACAUGGUUGCAACGGGUAACGGAGGGUUAGGGCUCGACCCCGGAGAAGGAGCCUGAGAAACGGCUACUACAUCCAAGGAAGGCAGCAGGCGCGCAAAUUACCCAAUCCCGACCGGGGAGGUAGUGACAAUAAAUACUGAUACAGGGCUCUUCUGGGUCUUGUAAUUGGAAUGAGUACAAUUUAAAUCCCUUAACGAGGAACAAUUGGAGGGCAAGUCUGGUGCCAGCAGCCGCGGUAAUUCCAGCUCCAAUAGCGUAUAUUAAAGUUGUCGUGGUUAACAGGCUCGUAGUUG
rnacentral:rRNA from 1 species